UACGUAGGGUGCGAGCGUUAAUCGGAAUGACUGGGCGUAAAGGGUGCGCAGGCGGAACGGUAAGAGCGAUGUGAAAUCCCCGGGCUUAACCUGGGAAUGGCAUAGCUGACUGUUGUUCUAGAGUAUGGCAGAGGGGGGUGGAAUUCCACGUGUAGCAGUGAAAUGCGUAGAGAUGUGGAGGAAUACCGAUGGCGAAGGCAGCCCCCUGGGCCAAUACUGACGCUCAUGCACGAAAGCGUGGGGAUCAAACAGG
rnacentral:rRNA from 1 species